rnacentral:rRNA from 1 species
AUGGCUGUGGGGCGAUGGCACCUUCCAGCGACGGCGCCGCAAGGCAGUGCGGUGCAGGAUGUUGCAAGGCUGCGGAGGCCGAUGCCAAACUGCAAGCAGCCGCCGCCUGGAGGUUCUCCGACACCGGAGCCCACCUCCUCCUCGCCCACGUCGCCGACGUCCAUCCUCGUCGGAUCCGGUGCCGCGGGGCCUCCCUGCGCCUCCGCCGCCCUGCCAAGUCCGUCUGCUGGAGCCGCCUCUGUCCGCUGCCUGUUCAGUCCCCUACCUCGACCACGUCUGUACGCGUGCGCAAGGGCUGCAAGGCCUAGCAGUGAUUCGUGA